rnacentral:rRNA from 1 species
GAGCUAAUACCGGAUAAGAUUUUGAACCGCAUGGUUCAAUAGUGAAAGACGGCCUUGCUGUCACUUAUAGAUGGAUCCGCGCCGUAUUAGCUAGUUGGUAAGGUAACGGCUUACCAAGGCAACGAUACGUAGCCGACCUGAGAGGGUGAUCGGCCACACUGGAACUGAGACACGGUCCAGACUCCUACGGGAGGCAGCAGUAGGGAAUCUUCCGCAAUGGGCGAAAGCCUGACGGAGCAACGCCGCGUGAGUGAUGAAGGUCUUCGGAUCGUAAAACUCUGUUAUCAGGGAAGAACAAACGUGUAAGUAACUGUGCACGUCUUGACGGUACCUGAUCAGAAAGCCACGGCUAACUACGUGCCAGCAGCCGCGGUAAUACGUAGGUGGCAAGCGUUAUCCGGAAUUAUUGGGCGUAAAGCGCGCGUAGGCGGUUUUUUAAGUCUGAUGUGAAAGCCCACGGCUCAACCGUGGAGGGUCAUUGGAAACUGGAAAACUUGAGUGCAGAAGAGGAAAGUGGAAUUCCAUGUGUAGCGGUGAAAUGCGCAGAGAUAUGGAGGAACACCAGUGGCGAAGGCGACUUUCUGGUCUGUAACUGACGCUGAUGUGCGAAAAGCGUGGGGAUCAAACAGGAUUAGAUACCCUGGUAGUCCACGCCGUAAACGAUGAGUGCUAAGUGUUAGGGGGUUUCCGCUCCCUU